GGAAGACAGCCCCUGACAAAUGGAACCAUCACGGCGGUUACUCCAGACCAUUGUCCCAGCUCCGCAGAUGAGGCGAUUGGAACGAUGGAGGCUGGCAGGAGUGCUGUGGAUCAGGGGUGAGCCGGUCCUUCAGAAUUCCUGAGGUCCCUAGCGCUUUGCUUCUCCCCAUCUAGUUCCUAGGUGAUCAGACUGAGAUAAAUGAAC
rnacentral:lncRNA from 1 species